GAUGAACGCUGGCGGCGUGCUUAACACAUGCAAGUCGAACGGAAAGGCCCAAGCUUGCUUGGGUACUCGAGUGGCGAACGGGUGAGUAACACGUGGGUGAUCUGCCCUGCACUUCGGGAUAAGCCUGGGAAACUGGGUCUAAUACCGGAUAGGACCACAUUUUGGAUGGUGUGGUGGAAAGUUUUUCGGUGUGGGAUGAGCUCGCGGCCUAUCAGCUUGUUGGUGGGGUAAUGGCCUACCAAGGCGUCGAUGGGUAGCCGGCCUGAGAGGGUGUACGGCCACAUUGGGACUGAGAUACGGCCCAGACUCCUACGGGAGGCAGCAGUGGGGAAUAUUGCACAAUGGGCGCAAGCCUGAUGCAGCGACGCCGCGUGGGGGAUGACGGCCUUCGGGUUGUAAACUCCUUUCGCUAGGGACGAAGCGUUAUGUGACGGUACCUGGAGAAGAAGCACCGGCUAACUACGUG
rnacentral:rRNA from 1 species